ensembl:snRNA U6 U6 spliceosomal RNA
GUGUUCACUUAGGCUGCACAUAUGCUAAAACUGAAACCAUAAAGAGAAGAUUAGCAUGGCCCCUGUGCAGGGAUGAUACUCGAAUUCAUGAAGAAUUCUAUAUUUUU